GAUGAACGCUGGCGGCGUGCUUAACACAUGCAAGUCGAACGAUGAAGCCUAGCUUGCUGGGUGGAUUAGUGGCGAACGGGUGAGUAACACGUGAGCAACCUGCCCCUGACUCUGGGAUAAGCGCUGGAAACGGCGUCUAAAUACUGGAUACGAGCAACGAUCGCAUGGUCAGUUGUUGGAAAGAUUUUUUUGGUUGGGGAUGGGCUCGCGGCCUAUCAGCUUGUUGGUGAGGUAAUGGCUCACCAAGGCGUCGACGGGUAGCCGGCCUGAGAGGGUGACCGGCCACACUGGGACUGAGACACGGCCCAG
rnacentral:rRNA from 1 species